UCCUAGCCAGCGAAGCCUGCUUAGGAAGGUCUGUGUUUCUACCAGUAGGUGUCACUGCAAUCAACAGAAAUACCCCAGGGGCAAGGAGAGCUGAUGCUGGGAUGAUAGAACGCUCCGGACACAAUGAAAGUGAAACGAAGAGCAUAUCGGUGGCUACAGAUGAGAAAUGAAGGUUGUGUGACGUUCCCAGCCUCAGAGGAUCUUGUUGAUGGAACCGAUGGAGGACGUCAAGUGGGUUCGAUCAGCAGUCACUACAUAUGCAGAAUAAAAUGCAAAAAACAUGUAAAAGAAUCUAAGCAGAGAAUAAAGAGAAAAAUCAAGACUUGACUAGUCGAGAGACGAUACAUAUGGCAAAGAGGUAUCUCUUGUUCUUAUACAGGAAGUAUUAGUAAUUAUUAUCACAUGCCACUG
rnacentral:lncRNA from 1 species